GAUGAAGAACGUAGCAAAACGCGAUAAGUAAUGUGAAUUGCAGAAUCCAGUGAAUCAUCGAAUCUUUGAACGCACAUUGCGCCCGCCAGCAUUCUGGCGGGCAUGCCUGUUCGAGCGUCAUUUCAACCCUCGACCUCCCCUUGGGGAGGUCGGCGUUGGGGACCGGCAGCACACCGCCGGCCCUGAAAUGGAGUGGCGGCCCGUCCGCGGCGACCUCUGCGCAGUAAUACAGCUCGCACCGGGACCCCGACGCGGCCACGCCGUAAAACACCCAACUUCUGAACGUUGACCUCGAAUCAGGUAGGACUACCCGCUGAACUUAAGCAUAUCAAUAAGCGGAGGA
rnacentral:misc_RNA from 1 species